rnacentral:sRNA from 1 species
CAUAAUGUGCCGAAGACAGUAGGUGCCGUAAGGCGUAACAAAUUUGACCUACCGAGGGAUGAUUGAUGGAUUAUCAUCAUGAGAAUGAUUUGUGACGAAUCCUCCCUGCUUUGGCAGGGAGGAUUUUUAGUUAUA